rnacentral:snRNA from 1 species
ACACUUAUCUGGCAGGGUAGAUACCAUGAUCAGGAAGUGGUUCCCAGAGUGAGGCUCAUCCAUUGCACUCUGGUUGUGCUGACCCCUGUGAUUUCCUCAAAUGCAGAAUUUGUCGUAGUGAGGGACUGUGUUCGUGCUUUUCCCCU